GAUGAACGCUGGCGGCGUGCCUAACACAUGCAAGUCGAGCGAAGCAUUUUAAAGGAAGUUUUCGGAUGGAAUUUGAAAUGACUGAGCGGCGGACGGGUGAGUAACGCGUGGGUAACCUGCCUCAUACAGGGGGAUAACAGUUAGAAAUGACUGCUAAUACCGCAUAUGCCUUGAGUAUCGCAUGGUACAAAAGGGAAAGGAGCAAUCCGCUAAUAGAUGAGCUUGCACCUGAUUAGCUAGUUGGUAAGGUAACGGCUUACCAAGGCGACGAUCAGUAGCCGGACUGAGAGGUUGAACGGCCACAUUGGGACUGAGAUACGGCCCAG
rnacentral:rRNA from 1 species